UCAAAUUUUAAUGUGUGUAAAGAGUGCAACUGCAGAUAUUGGAUCGACUAAUGGAUCGGAGGAAAACGAAGAGAAAGUAGCUAUGGUACAAAGCAAAAAAUACAGAGGUACGUGUCUGCAUGUAAAGUGUAGGGGUGCUUGCGGCGCGGAAGGGUAUAAAGACGGAGCUUGCUUAGUUACCGUUGCGAACAAACCUGCAGUGUGUAUGUGCGCUAAUUUGCCGUGGGCCGGUGGCGGGAAAGUAUUGCAAACAUUCUAGUUACAUAACUUUCUUUUUGUUUAAUUGUUGUUAAGAAAUCAAUCCUUUUGUUUGUAUCAUAAUUGAUGGUGAUGCCCAUCAUAUAUAUAUACAUACAUACAAUGGCAAUAAUUAUAUAAUAAUAGCAAAAGAAUAAUACAAUUAAAG
rnacentral:lncRNA from 1 species